AGUGAACGCUGGCGGUAGGCCUAACACAUGCAAGUCGAACGGCAGCACAGUAAGAGCUUGCUCUUACGGGUGGCGACUGGCGGACGGGUGAGGAAUACAUCGGAAUCUACUUUUUCGUGGGGGAUAACGUAGGGAAACUUACGCUAAUACCGCAUACGACCUACGGGUGAAAGCAGGGGAUCUUCGGACCUUGCGCGAUUGAAUGAGCCGAUGUCGGAUUAGCUAGUUGGCGGGGUAAAGGCCCACCAAGGGGACGAUCCGUAGCUGGUCGGAGAGGAUGAUCCGCCACACUGGAGCUGAGAGGCCAUCCAGAGUCCGACGGGCGGCAGCGGUGGGGACUGUUGGCAGCUGGGCGGAAGCCUGCUCCAGCCAUGCCGCGUGGGUGCAGAAGGCCUUCGGGUUGUAAAGCGCUUUUGUUGGGAAAGAAAAGCAGCAGGUUAAUCCACCGCUGUUCUGACGGUACCCAAAGAAUAAGAACCGGCUACCUUCGU
rnacentral:rRNA from 1 species